rnacentral:rRNA from 1 species
AACGAGCGCUGGCGGCAUGCCUAACACAUGCAAGUCGAACGAGACCUUCGGGUCUAGUGGCGCACGGGUGCGUAACGCGUGGGAACCUGCCCUUAGGUUCGGAAUAACUCCCCGAAAGGGGUGCUAAUACCGGAUAAUGUCUUCGGACCAAAGAUUUAUCGCCUUUGGAUGGGCCCGCGUUGGAUUAGCUAGUUGGUAGGGUAAAAGCCUACCAAGGCGACGAUCCAUAGCUGGUCUGAGAGGAUGAUCAGCCACACUGGGACUGAGACACGGCCCAGACUCCUACGGGAGGCAGCAGUGGGGAAUAUUGGACAAUGGGCGAAAGCCUGAUCCAGCAAUGCCGCGUGAGUGAUGAAGGCCUUAGGGUUGUAAAGCUCUUUUAACCGGGAUGAUAAUGACAGUACCGGGAGAAUAAGCUCCGGCUAACUCCGUG